GGCGUCAAACAUGAUAAGUGAAGGUCGCGAAUCAGAGUUAAUGCCAAGGGAGGCAAAUCCAGAUGCCCCAAUCACCGCCUUUAGAUAUCACUCACUUUGCGCAUACAAUGGGGAGGACGACUUGUUUAGUUCCGACUUUAGUGAUGACCAGCUGAAACAGAAACUUGGGCACAUGUCCAACACUCCUUGUCAGGUUAUAUUUUCCAUGGGUGACGAGUACGUUCCAGAUUAUGUUGACAAGAAAGCAUUGGUUGAUAGAUUGUGCAAAGCAAUGGGUGGUGCUGAAAAAGUUGAAAUUGAAUACGGGAACCAUUCUUUAUCUAACAGAGUCGUAGAAGCUGUUGAAGCUAUAAUGAGCUUUGUUAAACGAGAAGGUCCCAGCGGAUGGGAUGAUCCAUGGAACUAAAACAGUUGAUUGAUCCUGCAACUUCACUUUGCCUUUUACAUUCUUUAUUUCCAUGUAUAUGUACACUGCAGGUUGACGAUGGAAGAAGUACAAUUUUUUUUGUACCUCAAGUGAAAUGGUAGUCUAGAACAAGGUGGUCGGCCA
rnacentral:misc_RNA from 1 species